GAAUGUUAUUGUUUACCAAUGUUGUUUUAUUGAUCCAGUAAGGGCGGAAGUUCCUGCUGUAAUUGCAAAGCAAACCGGCUUUUUGUGCAUGAAUACUGAAGCUUGCGCUUCACUACAGGCUUUACAGGCUUAUAAUGUCUGGAUCGGGCUGCCAUCUAGCGUACAGUAGCUAGACAAUUACAGGGAAACAGGAGUGAAUAAUUUAUUGUUAGCGGGCAUUUCUCAAAAGAUUACUUAGGGAUUUUUUUAAAUAGCAUUAAUGAAAAUUGCUUUAUUUAUGUAUUUUCUUUUAAAAAGCACCGGGUGCAUUUUCUGGCAACUCAGAUCAACGCUAUUGCCUUGGGUAAAAUAAGUUAUUCAGAACAUUUGGCAUAAGUUCGAAAUGAGCGAUUAUUAGUUUGGAAGAAUUAUUUUAAAAUAUUUUGUUUAUCUGAUUUAUAUUGUGUAAAUAGCAGUAUUUAGAUCAUACUAUAUAUAGAACCUCAUGUAAACGCGUAUACCGACAAAUUACAGCGAAACACUAUUUCGGAAGUUAGACAUUAAAGAGGAUCAAAACCUCGCGACGCGGCUGUUUUGGUCAAAGAGUGUUUGCGCCGAGUUUCCCUUCGUCUCUUCUGUAAGCGUUCCGCAAACGCACCGCGCUGCCCUCUGUCCUCUGGAAAAAAAAGGUGAAACGAACGGGAUUAAAUCAGACAAAGGGCAAACUUCUGUAAGUGUAUCAUCAAGAUUUUACUCGACAGACUAGGAAGAGAGCGAGGGAGAGGCAAGAGAGAGGGAGAGGGGCAGCGAAUGGGAACACAAGGCGAAGGCAGGGAAACAGCGAGCGAGAGGAAGAGAAGAGGGAGAAGUGGACACCGCUGCACAGAGACGCCGCUACACUGCAACACCGUGCCUUGAACUCCGCUCCUAGGUUUGGCUAACAAUGAAACUUGAGCAGCUGCAGGUAUGUCUAUACACACAUGCCCACACACACUGCAAUAAUAUCAUAAUAAUAUCAGCAACAUAAUACCACUGUUUAUGCAGUAUAGGAGAUUUUUUUGCCAAGGGGCUGCUAUAUUUCUCAUCCAUUUCUUCAAUGCGAGCGUUAAUUUUCACCUGGCGACUUAUAUAGAAGAGCGUAAUUGAAUUACAUUAAAGUAUUGUCUGCUGUAUAACAUUUCUGUGUGUAUUUAAAUUGUAUUUUGUGAGUUUAUGUAUAACGACACAAUGUUACUGCACUGAUUAAAAAAAAAAAAGGCAGCCUAUGUUCUUGACAGGUGGGCCCAUCUCGCUGCUCUUGCAUUGGUCUUAACCACUGAAUGUCUACGGAUUGAGAGGAGCAGUUGAGAAUGUCGGUUUUCCAUCUUUGUCCAUCUUGUCAAUAUUUGAGUGAAAUCGUCCCUCAUCAUUACUGCCAUGCUGAAAUGUCAUUUUUUGACAAAGCACUUGACUAAGUGUGGGCUUUUGGACACACUUUCUGUCAUUCUUCGCAUCUGGCGGGCAGAUGAUGGAAUUUGUUCAUGAAAGCAUGUGUGUCCACCCAUACGUUCUGUUCCUGCCUCUCAUUUCAGCAUGUUCUUCAGCAUGAAUAUGGAAAGCUGUGGUCACAUGGCUUAAUGACAGCUCUGUUAGUUGCCGCCUGUCUCUUAUGAAAAUGCACCGACCUCAUUAACACAAUCAAUAGCUAUGACUGUAAUUGUUUAUAAAGAUAACAUGAACUCAAGAAUGCUUGCUUAGACAUACAUUAAAUAUGUUGUAAUGGGAAUAAUUGUAAAUAUUUUGUGUGAGUCACUGCUUUGUAAAAGCUCUACUUGUGCUCUCUUAAUGUUCUGUUUUAUCUGUCUGCCAUCUCAGACAUUCUUCCAGCAGUGUAUAUGCGGAGGUCAUAAAAUUGGAGCUCGGAGUGGAUUGAUAAAAUGGCAGACAGUGGAAGAGUUCACACACAUUCAGAAAAAUGUAAAAUAUUGAGCCUUUAACAGUUCUUUCCUCCAAGGGAACCAUUAAAAAGAAACUCUUUUGGAACAGUUUGAAACUCCUUUGCUAUCCUAUGACUAAAACCUUUCGGAGGCCGAGAACCAUAUUAAUAACCAGUAAAGACACACACACUGAAAAACAAACACAGGAAGUGCUAUGCCUACAUCUCUGUUUAUGCUCUGUCCUUCUCUUACACUGUACAAUGUGUGUGUCCUCUUUCACCUCUCUCUAUCAGCUCUAUCAGAUCUGAGGAGGAAAGAAUGCAGCAGUCAUUCCUAAACACACACAUUCCUCUAGGCUAGCUUUAUAAUAUCCCAGUCUGAAACAUGCAUCACAACUUUAAUUUCAUGUGAAAUAAAAAAAAGAAAAUGCACAAAAUGUAUUCACAGUUGUGUUUUCCUCAGGCUUCCUGCGUUAUAUUGGGAAAUGUGUUAUUAAAUGUAUUAAGUGUCUUGAAUACUUGUGUAGAGACACAUAAACUAUGUAAACUAUAUACAUAAACAACUAUAAUGUAACUAUGAUCUAUGAUGUAAAUACUGACCAUGUGUAUACUGUUCCAGCUGGAUUUACACUGCUCAGUACAUAUAUAUAUAUAUAUAUAUAUAUAUAUAUAUAUAUAUAUAUAUAUAUGAAGUAGACAAGUGUAUACUGACAUCAUGUCUGUCUCAUGUGAAACAGGAGAAGGUAAUUUUUCUGUUACUGAUUCUAUCUGUAUGUACAUAACAACUCUGGGAAUGUUUUUUUCUGUCUAGUGUCUGUGUAGUCUUAGGUAGAAAUGCCUAUAAUAUAGUAACUGUAUUCAGCAGUAACUUGAAUCAUUUUCCUAAAGGCAAAAGAAAGUCAACACUAUAAAGAAAAAAUAGAUAGAAAAAACAAUAGAAUUUAAAAAAAGCAAAAGAAAGCAAGUAAGAAUAAAGAUAAAUGAACUCAGCCACAUCUUUUAUUAUCCUAAUCAUGACUGCACAGUAUGUGGCUGCUAAAUAUCUCCUCAUAUUCCAAAAUGAUAAUUGGCUUACUUAAUGUUCACUGUUAUCAUUUGAUGCUAAUGUCAUGUCUGACAGAGCAUCGAGGUUGGUCCCUUGUUGUGUCCUGCACUUUUCCUUCUAGGUAUUUGCGAUUCACCCAUGCCAGCGUGAACAAAAGCUGUGCCUCUUCAUCUAUCAGAGCAUGGUUAAAGGUAAGUGGCACCCCCUAUUAGGAUGACAAGGAAAUUAAUGUGUGUCCCCUGGUUCUGUAUUACUUAUUUAUAGGUUAACACCUUUUCCUUGCUUUGGGCAUGUCUGUAACAAUUUUUGAGAGCACAGGUGAACACCAUAUACACCUGAGACACAACUGGCAUGAAAGCAGAUAUACAGUGUAUUGUUAAUCUCUAAAAUAUGACUGAGUCUUUGGUGCAGGUGUACAGGAGGAAACAUCAUGUAUUUGAAUGAAAUAAAUUGACCACAUGCAUGUA